rnacentral:rRNA from 1 species
AUGACUAGGGAUAACCUUAGGAAGAGACACAUCAUCAAACCCCUUGAUUGUGUUUACUGCUUGGAACAAGAGUCUUGUUCUCACCUAUUUUUUGAAUGUAUAGUUGCUAAACAUCUAUGGGCCCACAUUUAGGAAUAUUUCUCUAGUCAGAUUGGCUCAUCCUUCGAAUCUGUCGCCAGAUUCUAGAUUGCUACCAAAAAGUGCUCUGUUUUAAACACUGUUAGCUCAGCUGUCCUUUGGUGCCUCUGGAAAUAUAGAAAUGCUAUGAUUUUCAGUAACACCUCCUGGAUUUCCAUUCCGCAGGUCUCGAGGUUGAUCAGGAACAUGGUGAGGAACUGGGCGAUUCUCUCCUCCGGAUUGGACAAGGACAAGUUGAUGAGCUUCGUGGAAACCCUAACAAGAUCCCUCCAGAAACCGUUGGCGAUCACUUGUGGCUGA